rnacentral:rRNA from 1 species
CGAAUGCUGACAUAAGUAACGAUAAAGCGGGUGAAAAGCCCGCUCGCCGGAAGACCAAGGGUUCCUGUCCAACGUUAAUCGGGGCAGGGUGAGUCGACCCCUAAGGCGAGGCCGAAAGGCGUAGUCGAUGGGAAACAGGUUAAUAUUCCUGUACUUGGUGUUACUGCGAAGGGGGGACGGAGAAGGCUAUGUUGGCCGGGCGACGGUUGUCCCGGUUUAAGCGUGUAGGCUGGUUUUCCAGGCAAAUCCGGAAAAUCAAGGCUGAGGCGUG